rnacentral:rRNA from 1 species
AGAUUAAGUUAUUAAGGGCGCACGGUGGAUGCCUUGGCACUAGAAGCCGAUGAAGGACGUUACUAACGACGAUAUGCUUUGGGGAGCUGUAAGUAAGCUUUGAUCCAGAGAUUUCCGAAUGGGGAAACCCAGCAUGAGUUAUGUCAUGUUAUCGAUAUGUGAAUACAUAGCAUAUCAGAAGGCACACCCGGAGAACUGAAACAUCUUAGUACCCGGAGGAAGAGAAAGAAAAUUCGAUUCCCUUAGUAGCGGCGAGCGAAACGGGAAGAGCCCAAACCAACAAGCUUGCUUGUUGGGGUUGUAGGACACUCUAUACGGAGUUACAAAGGACGACAUUAGACGAAUCAUCUGGAAAGAUGAAUCAAAGAAGGUAAUAAUCCUGUAGUCGAAAAUGUUGUCUCUCUUGAGUGGAUCCUGAGUACGACGGAGCACGUGAAAUUCCGUCGGAAUCUGGGAGGACCAUCUCCUAAGGCUAAAUACUCUCUAGUGACCGAUAGUGAACCAGUACCGUGAGGGAAAGGUGAAAAGCACCCCGGAAGGGGAGUGAAAUAGAACCUGAAACCGUGUGCUUACAAGUAGUCAGAGCCCGUUAAUGGGUGAUGGCGUGCCUUUUGUAGAAUGAACCGGCGAGUUACGAUUUGAUGCAAGGUUAAGCAGUAAAUGUGGAGCCGUAGCGAAAGCGAGUCUGAAUAGGGCGUUUAGUAUUUGGUCGUAGACCCGAAACCAGGUGAUCUACCCUUGGUCAGGUUGAAGUUCAGGUAACACUGAAUGGAGGACCGAACCGACUUACGUUGAAAAGUGAGCGGAUGAACUGAGGGUAGCGGAGAAAUUCCAAUCGAACCUGGAGAUAGCUGGUUCUCUCCGAAAUAGCUUUAGGGCUAGCCUCAAGUGAUGAUUAUUGGAGGUAGAGCACUGUUUGGACGAGGGGCCCCUCUCGGGUUACCGAAUUCAGACAAACUCCGAAUGCCAAUUAAUUUAACUUGGGAGUCAGAACAUGGGUGAUAAGGUCCGUGUUCGAAAGGGAAACAGCCCAGACCACCAGCUAAGGUCCCAAAAUAUAUGUUAAGUGGAAAAGGAUGUGGCGUUGCCCAGACAACUAGGAUGUUGGCUUAGAAGCAGCCAUCAUUUAAAGAGUGCGUAAUAGCUCACUAGUCGAGUGACACUGCGCCGAAAAUGUACCGGGGCUAAACAUAUUACCGAAGCUGUGGAUUGUCCUUUGGACAAUGGUAGGAGAGCGUUCUAAGGGCGUUGAAGCAUGAUCGUAAGGACAUGUGGAGCGCUUAGAAGUGAGAAUGCCGGUGUGAGUAGCGAAAGACGGGUGAGAAUCCCGUCCACCGAUUGACUAAGGUUUCCAGAGGAAGGCUCGUCCGCUCUGGGUUAGUCGGGUCCUAAGCUGAGGCCGACAGGCGUAGGCGAUGGAUAACAGGUUGAUAUUCCUGUACCACCUAUAAUCGUUUUAAUCGAUGGGGGGACGCAGUAGGAUAGGCGAAGCGUGCGAUUGGAUUGCACGUCUAAGCAGUAAGGCUGAGUAUUAGGCAAAUCCGGUACUCAUUAAGGCUGAGCUGUGAUGGGGAGAAGACAUUGUGUCUUCGAGUCGUUGAUUUCACACUGCCGAGAAAAGCCUCUAGAUAGAAAAUAGGUGCCCGUACCGCAAACCGACACAGGUAGUCAAGAUGAGAAUUCUAAGGUGAGCGAGCGAACUCUCGUUAAGGAACUCGGCAAAAUGACCCCGUAACUUCGGGAGAAGGGGUGCUCUUUAGGGUUAACGCCCAGAAGAGCCGCAGUGAAUAGGCCCAAGCGACUGUUUAUCAAAAACACAGGUCUCUGCUAAACCGUAAGGUGAUGUAUAGGGGCUGACGCCUGCCCGGUGCUGGAAGGUUAAGAGGAGUGGUUAGCUUCUGCGAAGCUACGAAUCGAAGCCCCAGUAAACGGCGGCCGUAACUAUAACGGUCCUAAGGUAGCGAAAUUCCUUGUCGGGUAAGUUCCGACCCGCACGAAAGGCGUAACGAUUUGGGCACUGUCUCAACGAGAGACUCGGUGAAAUCAUAGUACCUGUGAAGAUGCAGGUUACCCGCGACAGGACGGAAAGACCCCGUGGAGCUUUACUGUAGCCUGAUAUUGAAAUUCGGCACAGCUUGUACAGGAUAGGUAGGAGCCUUUGAAACGUGAGCGCUAGCUUACGUGGAGGCGCUGGUGGGAUACUACCCUAGCUGUGUUGGCUUUCUAACCCGCACCACUUAUCGUGGUGGGAGACAGUGUCAGGCGGGCAGUUUGACUGGGGCGGUCGCCUCCUAAAAGGUAACGGAGGCGCUCAAAGGUUCCCUCAGAAUGGUUGGAAAUCAUUCAUAGAGUGUAAAGGCAUAAGGGAGCUUGACUGCGAGACCUACAAGUCGAGCAGGGUCGAAAGACGGACUUAGUGAUCCGGUGGUUCCGUAUGGAAGGGCCAUCGCUCAACGGAUAAAAGCUACCCCGGGGAUAACAGGCUUAUCUCCCCCAAGAGUUCACAUCGACGGGGAGGUUUGGCACCUCGAUGUCGGCUCAUCGCAUCCUGGGGCUGUAGUCGGUCCCAAGGGUUGGGCUGUUCGCCCAUUAAAGCGGUACGCGAGCUGGGUUCAGAACGUCGUGAGACAGUUCGGUCCCUAUCCGUCGUGGGCGUAGGAAAUUUGAGAGGAGCUGUCCUUAGUACGAGAGGACCGGGAUGGACAUACCUCUGGUGUACCAGUUGUCGUGCCAACGGCAUAGCUGGGUAGCUAUGUGUGGACGGGAUAAGUGCUGAAAGCAUCUAAGCAUGAAGCCCCCCUCAAGAUGAGAUUUCCCAACUUCGGUUAUAAGAUCCCUCAAAGAUGAUGAGGUUAAUAGGUUCGAGGUGGAAGCAUGGUGACAUGUGGAGCUGACGAAUACUAAUCGAUCGAAGACUUAAUCAAAUU